CUUUGUCCAAUCCGCUCCGCGUGCUCGCACCGUACCCAAUCCCAUCCUCUCCCCUGGUCGUCCCGAUCCACCCCAGCCGCCGCACAACCCUAGCCCCUUUCCCCUCGAUCCCCAUAGCCCCUCCCUCCUCCUUGCUCUCCGCCAUGGCCUCUGCACUAGGAGCCUCUCCAUGGCCUCCUACCCAUCCCCCCACCACCAUAGGUGCACACAGACGGUGGAUCCGUGCCGGAGAAGAGCAGCUCCAGUUAUGGUGGGGUGCAUCUGUGCCGAAGAUGAAGGAGGUCCGCCGCCCGUCUUUGCCUCCUCGCUGCGUCCUUGUUGCUGCUCCUCCUCUAUCUCUCUCCGCACCUAGCAGUGCAGCAGCCGGGACAAGGGGAAGGAGCAGCCCGACCCGGCUCCAUCUCUCUCCUUCAUGCAGGAGAACUGGAUGAGCAGGUGGCGAGGGAAGCUGCCACGGCUAGCGGCGGCGCUGCACAGGAACGUCCACCUCCAGGGACCAGAUCUUGGCUAUGAUCUAUGAUGCUGAUUUGGCUAUCAACUGCUAAAUCUACGAAUCAUUCAAAAUGUUUUGCCUAACUGCACAAGCCUUGCAUAUGACCACUGGGCCAUGUCUUUUGUGAGCCCCCAUAAUUCUUUUGUUCUAUUGAUGUUUUGCCUAACUGCACAAGCCUUGCAUAUGACCACUGGGCCAUGUCUUUUGUGAGCCCCCAUAAUUCUUUUGUUAUAUUGAUGUCGUGGAGUUCAGUAGAUUAGUAAAAGGGUCUUUUGAUUUUGUUGAGUUCAGUAGAUUAGUAAAGGGUCUUUUGAUUUUGUUGGCCAUAUAGGAUUUUACUACUGCUAUGGAAAAAAGAAGGCUAAAGCUGGGAAAGACAACAAUGUCAGGAGCCAACCGAGGUAAAGAAACCUAAGUUGACAAGCAGGGCGUACUCCCCUCUGCAGUUAUUUUUCUCUGCUAUUCAUUGAGCAUAUCAGGAGAUUGAUAGACAGUGUGAGAACUGAUCCAAAAUGCCGAGAAGCAGGGUUUAUUUUCUCUCAUCACCAUAACAAAGGGGAGACUCCAGGGAGAGAGAGGAAAGCUGCGCAAGUGCCCCUGGAAGCGAGGCAGCUCGGCGCCGUCGCGGAAGAGGAGCUACGCUUCCAUGGAGUAGAGCGACGAGGGGCUCCGGCGUCGCUGUAGAGGAGGGAGGAGAUCCGCCGCCACUGCACCUGACAAUUCGACAGGAACCUCUCUGGAUGAUUCUGUCAAUUCUGGUGUUAUGCAUUUUUGAAAGUGUUGUGCAAUGGCAGAAAUUGGCAAGAGGACACCUCAACUUGGUAUGAGGUUCAUAGAUUCGGAUGAGGCUUGGGUGUUUUGGGUAGAAUAUGGUGAGGAAAAGAUGCAAGUUUGAUGGAAAAGCGACUUCACACAUAUUUGUGUGUUCCAAUGAGGGCAUUAGAAGGAAAGCGCAAACUGAUUGUGAGCCAAAGCGCAAACCCUGUAUAUGUACUGAUUUUAUUUUAGCCUAUCUCUGCUCAUGUGUGCAUCUGGUUCACUCUUUGGAUUAAACUAUAGCCAAGUGUACAACUAUACUUGCCUAAUAUAUCCAGUGUUCAGUGUCAAAAUUGUCCAGUUUGAAAAGGUUCCA